UACGGGGGGGGCAAGCGUUGUUCGGAAUUACUGGGCGUAAAGGGUUCGUAGGUGGCCAACUAAGUCAGACGUGAAAUCCCUCGGCUCAACCGGGGAACUGCGUCUGAUACUGGUUGGCUUGAGUGCAGGAGAGGAACGCGGAAUUCCAGGUGUAGCGGUGAAAUGCGUAGAUAUGCGGAGGAACACCGAUGGCGAAGGCAAUCCCCUGGGCCUGCACUGACGCUCAUGCACGAAAGCGUGGGGAGCAAACAGG
rnacentral:rRNA from 1 species